rnacentral:rRNA from 1 species
GACGAACGCUGGCGGCGUGCUUAACACAUGCAAGUCGAACGGAAAGGCCCUGCUUUUGUGGGGUGCUCGAGUGGCGAACGGGUGAGUAACACGUGAGUAACCUGCCCUUGACUUUGGGAUAACUUCAGGAAACUGGGGCUAAUACCGGAUAGGAGCUCCUGCUGCAUGGUGGGGUUUGGACAUUUUCGGCGGUUGGGGAUGGACUCGCGGCUUAUCAGCUUGUUGGUGGGGUAGUGGCUUACCAAGCCUUUGACGGGUAGCCGGCCUGAGAGGGUGACCGGCCACAUUGGGACUGAGAUACGGCCCAGACGCGUACGGGAGGCAGCAGUGGGGAAUAUUGCACAAUGGGCGGAAGCCUGAUGCAGCAACGCCGCGUGCGGGAUGACGGCCUUCGGGUUGUAAACCGCAUUCGCCUAUGACGAAGCGUGAGUGACGGUAAUGGGUAAAGAAGCACCGGCUAACUACGUG